rnacentral:rRNA from 1 species
AGCGAACGCUGGCGGCAGGCCUAACACAAGCAAGUCGAACGAACUCUUCGGAGUUAGUGGCGGACGGGUGAGUAACACGUGGGAACGUGCCUUUAGGUUCGGAAUAACUCAGGGAAACUUGUGCUAAUACCGAAUGUGCCCUUCGGGGGAAAGAUUUAUCGCCUUUAGAGCGGCCCGCGUCUGAUUAGCUAGUUGGUGAGGUAAAGGCUCACCAAGGCGACGAUCAGUAGCUGGUCUGAGAGGAUGAUCAGCCACAUUGGGACUGAGACACGGCCCAAACUCCUACGGGAGGCAGCAGUGGGGAAUCUUGCGCAAUGGGCGAAAGCCUGACGCAGCCAUGCCGCGUGAAUGAUGAAGGUCUUAGGAUUGUAAAAUUCUUUCACCGGGGACGAUAAUGACGGUACCCGGAGAAGAAGCCCCGGCUAACUUCGUG